UCCAGGAAAUCAAUAACGCUGGUUAUCAAUGCAAAAGUACCUGCACAGGCAAAUUUCUAGCACAUAUAGAAUUCCCACAUUGUGUGUCAGUUUCUCAAUGUCCAGGACCCGCAGCCCACAGAGGAGGAACCCAGUGGAAGAUGCCUCUCAAAACCAGCUCCUUUCACAGACUGAUCAACUGUCAAUGCCUCCUGUUAUGUUUCUUCAGCUUUCACAUUGGGAAAGCAAUAGUUGGUGCUGAGUUCACAGUUUGUGGAUACCUGAACAGUCACAUUAAUAAAUCUCAUCACUACAUUGG